AGAGUUUGAUCCUGGCUCAGGAUAAACGCUGGCGGCGUGCCUAACGCAUGCAAGUCGAACGUCCUCUGGCUUCGGUCAGAGGGAGUGGCGGACGGGUGAGUAGCACAUGGGUACCUACCCCCAAGGUGAGGAAUACCACCGAGAAAUCGGUGACAAGACCGCAUAGCUUUCGUGCUUUGGCGCGAAAGAAAGUCGCGCACGCGACGCCUGGGGAUGGGCCUGUGCCUGAUUAGCUGGUUGGUGGGGUAAGAGCCUACCAAGGCGACGAUCAGUAGCUGGUCUGAGAGGAUGAUCAGCCACACUGGGAUUGAGAACGGCCCAGACUCCUACGGGGGGCAGCAGUGAGGAAUUUUCGGCAAUGGAGGCAACUCUGACCGAGCAACGCCGCGUGCAGGAAGACCCUUUUCGGAGCGUAAACUGCUUUUCUCGGGGACGAGACACAGGACGGUACCCAAGGAACAAGCCCCGGCUAACUACGUGCCAGCAGCCGCGGUAAUACGUAGGGGGCGAGCGUUGUCCGGAGUUACUGGGCGUAAAGGGCCCGCAGGCGGUCCUUUAAGUUCCCCCUGACAAUCGUGGGCUUAACCCAGGAGGGUGGAGGAAAACUGGAGGACUUGAGGAAGAGAGAGGGACAGGGAAUUCCGGGUGGAGUGGUGAAAUGCGUAGAUAUCCGGAGGAACACCAAAGGCGAAGGCACUGUCCUGGCUCUAUCCUGACGCUCGGGGGCGAAAGCCAGGGGAGCGAACGGGAUUAGAUACCCCGGUAGUCC
rnacentral:rRNA from 1 species